GCCCCCGUGAGAAUGCCCUAUAGUUCUCUGCCCGAGAACAAGGAGCCGGUAUCAGGCACAAUAUUCAUUAGCCCAUGACGCCUUGCUUAGCCACACCCCCAAGGGAAUUCAGCAGUGAUAAAUAUUAAGCCAUAAGUGAAAACUUGACUUAGUUAAUGCUUAAAGGGCCGGUAAAAGUCGUGCCAGCCACCGCGGUUAUACGACAGGCCCAAGUUAAUGGACAUCGGCGCAAAGCGUGGUUAAGAAAACUUUACAACUAAAGCCGAAUGCUUUCACGACUGUCGUACGUCCCUGAAAGUAAGAAGCUCAACUACGAAAGUGGCUUUAAUAGUUCUGACCCCACGAAAGUUGGGAAACAAACUGGGAUUAGAUACCCCACUAUGCCCAACCCUAAACCUUGAUAGACAUUGGUUUCUAUCCGCCUGGGUACUACUGGCGUUAGCUUAAAACCCAAAGGACUUGGCGGUGCUUUAGACCCACCUAGAGGAGCCUGUCCUAGAACCGAUAAUCCCCGUUAAACCUCACCUUCUCUUGCAAUUUCAGUCUAUAUACCGCCGUCUUCAGUUUACCCCGCGAGGGGCGCAUAGUAAGCGCAAUCAGUUUAGCUCAGUACGUCAGGUCGAGGUGCAGCUUACGAGAAGGGAUAAGAUGGGCUACAUUCCCUGAUUCAGGGCAUACGGAUAAUGCAUUGAAACAUGCAUUUGAAGGCGGAUUUAGCAGUAAGCUGAAAAUAGAGUGUUCAACUGAAGCAGGCACUGAAGCGCGUACAUACCGCCCGUCACCCUCGCCGAGUCUAUUAAACUUAAACAUAACUAAUAAGUGUAUUUGAUAAAGGGGAGGCAAGUCGUAACAUGGUAAGUGUACCGGAAGGUGCACUUGGAAAAAU
rnacentral:ncRNA from 1 species